UCUCGUUCUUCGGCGAGAAUUUUCGUCUCGUUCUUCGGCGAGAAUUUUCGUCUCGUUCAUCGGCGAGAAUUUUCGUCUCGUUCUUCGGCGGUUCUUCAGCUUGAAACAUGCCUUGUCUUGACGCUUCGUCCUGCGAGUGACCCGAUAGACAUUGUCCUGACCGUCUGGUUGGACCGACCAAUGUUUUGAAAAGAAGAUCCACUCUUUUCACAUUGCAAAACUGAUCUGCUGUCGGAGGCGGUUGCGAACUCCUUUUCUGACUUUUCUUGAUCACAGAGUGUCCGUCCUCAUGGCUCUGGCUAUUGAUGAGCUUUUGCACACUUCUGUCAAUCUGAGCUGCUGAAGAGUUGACCCAGAGUCACACCUACAGGGUCACACAAUGACCCUAUUUGAUCAAGACCAACUUGAUUGGAAAAGAAAAGCUUAUUGUCUGCCUUCAACGUCAAAUCUUUAUUCAAGAUUGACCCCACUGAAGUGAGCUUCAACGAGCAAGAGCAGAGCAGUGGGCCGUCUUGUAGGCGACAAUAUUCUUCCAUUAUCAACCAGUUGAUAAACACCUCGAGCCUUCACCAGGGUGGGCAAGCACACCUCUUUGCCCAUCCUGUGACGCGGCCAUGGCAACUGGGAGAACCUCUUGGGCCGCAAAUCGAUCAGGCGAUGACCAUCUCGGGCCUGCACCAGGGUGGGCGGACCACCAUCAACGCCCAGGAGAUGUCCAUGACGCGCCGAGGAGAUCUGGAAGGGCCUCUUGGGCCGCAAAUCAAUCAGGCGAUGACCAUCUCGAGCCUGCACCAGGGUGGGCGUACCACCGUCAACGGCUUGUCCUUCCCUGGAAUGGGUCGACUGAUCGUGGAUAGCCGUCUUGGCCCCACCUUGACCAGGCUAUUACCAACUCAAGCCUGAAUCAAGGCGGCCGAGCCACCGUCGACGGCCCGUCUUUCCCUGGAAUGGGUCGCGUGGACCGAGAUCAGCCGUUCUGGCCCCACCUUGAUCAGGGAAUUUUGAACUCAAGCCUUAAUCAAGGCGGGCAAGCCACUGUCAACGGCCGACCCAUCCCUGGAAUGGGUUGUUUGGAUCGAGAUCAGCCGUUUUGGCCCCUACUUCACAAGGCAAUUUCCAACUCCAGCCUGAAUCAAGGUGGCCGAGUUGUCCAAGGAUCCAAGAAUGGCGAAUCAGAACAGCGCAGGCGAUGACGAACUCGAGCCUUCACCAGGGUGGGCGGACCACCAUCAACGCCCAGGAGUUGUCCAUGACGCGCCGAGGGCAUCUGGAAGGGCCUCUUGGGCCGCAAAUCGAUCAGGCGAUGACGAACUCGAGCCUGCACCAGGGUGGGCGGACCACCAUCAACGCCCCGGAGUUGUCCAUGACGCGCCGAGGAGAUCUGGAAGGGCCUCUUGGGCCGCACAUCAAUCAGGCGAUGAUGGACUCGAACCUUCACCAGGGUGGGCGGACCACCAUCUACGCCCAGGAGUUUUCCAUGCCGCGCCCAGGGCAUCUGGAAGGGCCUGUUGGGCCGAAAAUUGAUCAGGAAACGUGUACAUGCAGGGAGUGUUCAACAUUUGCAGCAAACCCUACAGCUGCAUCACCUGUAAGACUAGAUUCACAAGACACGACGACUUGAUGAGGCAUGAAAGAAAACACAGUGGUGCUGAACGUCUCAAAAGGCAUUAGUGGAAGCUCGAAUGCCAGGUCCAGUUUCUUCAAGAUGCGCAUCAAGAAAAAUCAUCAGACCCCAAAGCUAGAGAAACACUGACCACCAACGAGUGCCAGGGAAGACAAUUUUUCUAUUUUUUACCAGUUAUUUCAUGAAAGAUGUUAUUCAAUUAUUUAAUCUCCAUUAAAUACAUCAAAAUACAACACGAACGUCUUAUUGAUAAAAACUUACAUGAAACGUAAAUUAUAAAUAAAAAUGAAAAUACAUGAGAUUAAGGAUUAGAAACAAUUAUUUUACCCCUGUCAGCUCACGUUAAUAAAAUUUUAGUAUGAAGUACUAUUUAUAUUACUGUAGAGUUGAAAAAAUAAUGGAAUGCGGCAGGAUAAACAGACAAGAACUAAAAAGAUAUUUUUUCAAACAGCAUAGUCUCUACAAAAGUUAUCACGUCUGCUUCACAAAGCGAGAUCAGAAAAACAAAUUUUUUUUAAUUUCCGUCUAUCUUUAACAAGUUAUUACGUCUGUGCCGCCGAGCGAGAUAGGAUGGAGGAUGGACUAAAAUAAUUUUUUUUUUAAAUCGAGGUCUGUCUUGAAUAAAUUAUAACUUUUGUGCCGCCGAGCGUCUACGGAUGGACUAAAUUAAUUUUUUUUUUAAAUCAAGGUCUAUCUUAAACAAGUUAUUACAUCUCUGCCGCCAAGCGAGUUUGGAUGGACUAAUUUUUUUUUUUUUAAAUUGAGGUAUGUAUUCAUGGUUGGUCCCAUACGCUGAAGGGGGCGUAGUUUUUUAAUUAUAGAAUGGUUGAGCUUACGACAUUGUGACCAAUUCCAUUCAAUUUAGCUUACCUUAAUAGGUUUAAAACAACAAUAAAAUGAUCAAGUCAAUGUACCCUUUCGACGUAGUUAAAAAUGAAAGAUUAGUUCUCUCAAUUGCCAACAGUUAACAACUGUUUCUUGCCAUUCCAAUUUUCUUGAGAAUCGCAUCUUUAGUAGGUUUUUCUAUGGAGUAAAUUACGAACAUAAAUAUAAACCUGCCAAAAAAUUUGUACCAAUUAUAUCAGAUCAAAUAAAAUAAACAUUUUUGUAUUGUAACAAUACAAUUUUUAUUGAAACAUCUGCGACUUCUCUUGAGCAAUGACUUAUUUAAUCUUUACAAAACUGUAUAGGGUUCAGUUUCACUUCAAUAUUUUUUACAUUUUGCUUCUCUAAUUUACGCUUUUUGCUUUUGGUAACCAAUUAUUUAUAUCACCUACUUUUACAUAAAAGUUUGUCUAAUAAUAAGUAUGUAAUUUACUAUAAAUAAUAAAAAUUUUGAUUUUUCAGAUGGAAGAAAGUGUCUUCUUUUAA